UACAGAGGUCUCAAGCGUUGUUCGGAUUCAUUGGGCGUAAAGGGCGCGUAGGCUGCGGGGCAAGUCGGGUGUGAAAUCUCAGAGCUCAACUCUGAAACUGCACUCGAUACUGCUUUGCUUGAGGACUGGAGAGGAGAUUGGAAUUCACGGUGUAGCAGUGAAAUGCGUAGAUAUCGUGAGGAAGACCAGUGGCGAAGGCGGGUCUCUGGACAGUUCCUGACGCUGAAGCACGAAGGCCAGGGGAGCAAACGGG
rnacentral:rRNA from 1 species